rnacentral:lncRNA from 1 species
UAUAUGAAGCUGGCUGUGGGAAUAAAAAAAUUGUUGAUUUUUAUGAGUUUUGAAUCAAGCAUUUGAUGAGCAUAUAUGUCCAGUAAACACAAAAAUAAGGAAAGCCUGAUUAAUUUAGAUGUUUAUUGGCAAAGUGUCUGUAUCUGUUUAUUGGUAGAAUAUUUGGCUAGGAGAAAUCUGAAUGUCUCCUGUUUUCAUCACACAGAAUCAAUUAUAAGGAAUCAUUUUUUAUUUAUUUUUAAUAAUCUACGACUAGUAGCUCUCUAGUCUUUUUUCUUAAGACCAUCAAGGCUGAUGCCAUUGUCUUUCAACUGGAAAUGCGUAGAACUUCAGCUAUUUGAAAUUAAAAUGAAAUUCUCUUGCCUAAUUUAUGAAUCAAAAGAACGUAUGUGUUUUAUGUAGAUUUUGGGUUAGGCUGGAGAGUUAACAUAAUGGGAGUGGUCUUGCAGGUUUUCUUUUCUCUGGCAGCAAACUUGAAUAGGCACAAAAACCUUGUUUAUGUUUCCUGACAUCUGGGUUUUUAUCAUUCAGUUAAAAAUAUUUGGCGGUCUUACUUACCGUAUUUUUCGCUCUAUAACACGCACCCAACCAUAACACGCACGUAGUUUUUAGAGGAGGAAAAUCCGUAGGCAUGCCACCCAUAGGCAUUCCCUCCAUAACACGCACAGACAUUUCCCCUUACUUUCUAGGAGGAAAAAAGUGAGUGUUAUGGUGCAAAAAAUACGGUAAAUACUGUAUGCCCUUUUAUAAUGAAAGAAGUAUAUGCUUGAAUGCUGAAGUAACUUUGUCUCCACAUUUUGAGAUGAAUUGGUAGGAAUCUGUAAAACCAAUGAAGGCAAAGAGACAUUCAGUUCCAGCUCUCUCUAGUUUCCCUGUUCUCUUCUUCACUUUUGGUUUGGGAAGGGGACCCAGAGGCUAGUUUGGGUUGUGUCGCUUCUGCAAUUAUAACUAUGCUGGCUUCAGUGGGAGUAACAUCAAACAAUAGUCUUGAUGAUGGUUCAGUUAAUUCACUUUCAGAAGUUCAAUAAUUCAUCUUCGAAGUGUCAGCAGCUGGCUCUUGUUAAUGGUAAGCCUUUCAUUUCUGUUAAAUCAAUUGUGAAUAAUAGAAGCUUUCAGAGAAAAAAUGAUGAAGUAAGCAUUGAUUUCCAAAUUGGGUGUCUGAUCUGGAACAUUAAUAAAACACAGGGCAGGCAGACAACAAGUACCUAAUACACUCUGAUCACCUAAGCAGUAAUCAAAGAAAAAUCAAUGAUUUUUGUGUAUGGUGCUAGGUCUUCUAACACUUCACCUUCUUCCAUUCAUCAUUGUGUCUAUAGCAUCAAUUUUAUAAUUGUUCUGACUUGUUUUUUAUUAUAUAUAAAAAAGGUUUUAUAGUUUGCAUCAUAGCAAGCCAUUUAUCACAAUGGAUCUGGCAAAUCCUGGUCAUUCCGCCUCAUAACUCUACUGGAAAACUCCAUUUUUUGUUUAUAUGCAUUAGGGCUCUCCAUAAAGGCCUUAAUUGGUAUCAAAAUGCUUCCAAGUGAAAUUAAAUGCUCUUUAAAAUAUCCUUAAUGGAUUUUACGUCUUUUUGAAUUGCCAGCCUCCGGGUACCAUUUUGUAUGUUCUAUGUAUAUGUUUCUAUUACCCUCUUCCCCCAGGCUUUAAGGAGAUUUUGAAUUGCUCAAGGUAUCCGUAAUGUAUGUAUGAUGCGAUUAUAAAUAUCUGUAACCUUUGAAGUGCAGGUGUAGUUGAGAAUUGUUUCAAAAGGCUGUAGGAAAGCAUAGUUGCUAUGAAAUGUAGAAACUGGGCAAUGCAGAAAAUUAGCAGGAGGACCCCACAUCCACUGGGCUGCAAAACCGAUGUGGGCCAAGACUGAUCUCAAAAAAGUACACCACACUUUGUUCACAUUGCACAAAAGACCCACAAGCACUUCAUUACAGGGUCCAGAAAACUGGGGGGGGGGGGGGAGAGAAGGCCCCCUCUUCCAAUCUCCCAGCCAUUCCUUGCAGAUUUCAAUCUGUAGUCAAGGAUUUAAAAAAUAGUGUGCAAACAUUUUUCAUGGGGCAAGCAUGUAGGAAGUGCUCAGCAUAAUUUCCGCAGGCCAGAAACUGCCAGUACGCCUUUUAACUUUUGAGCUAGAGCUGUUGCUUUUGCCACACAAUCCUUUUGUGUUUCUUGCAUAGUCCUAUUGCCCCCUCCCCCAGCACAUCUCGUCUUCCUUCUGAGGGUAAGAUGGAAAACCCCACUUGCUUUAGCCAGCAGAGGAGUGACUUGUGAUAACAUGUGGAUUUUUUAAAAAAAAAAAGAUAGAAGAACAUGACUUGACGCUUAAAGCUUUGGUCUUUCUAAUCAACAUUGCAAAAAACAGAAGCGGAAAACGUGUGGAUCUCUGUAUGUUAUUGGAUUCUAGGUCCCCUAAACCCCAGUCAACAUGGCCAGUAGUUAGAGGUGAGUCCAACAACCAGGGUAUCUGAAGGAACAUCUCUCCCCACACCCAGGGGCAUAGGAAGGGGGGUGCGGCCUGGCCCGGGUGUCACCCUUGAGAGGGCUGACAAAAUGGCACACUGCGGGGCCUGUCUUGCAGCGUGCCCGAGCCACGUGUCUCUCCUGGGAGUGAUGCGGUGGCUCGGGACCCUGCGCUGCCUGAAACAGCAGUGUAGGGCUUGCGUCCGCCAGGCAGACUCCGUGGGCAGCUCACAGCGCCGCCGCCCCGGGCGGAUCGCCGUGGCACCCCUGUGUGUUGUUCGCCAUGGCACACCUGUGCGCGGAUCACCCCGCCCCCGUGGGUGGAUCGCCCCACCCCUGCCGCUCCGGGUACCAGAGUACCUAGCUACGCCACUGCCUGCACCCCAAGUCCUACCCAGAUUCUGAGGUCAACUGUGGAGGCUCUUCAGAGUGCUAUCAUUGGCAGAGUUCCAGAACUCAAAGGCUUCCAGAGGUUGCUCCUACCCAGUAUAUUUUCUGGCACCAACAGAAUGCCUUGCUCUUUCAGCAGGCAUUUGGAUAACAGUAUGCUCAGACGGAAUGAUUUGAAAGUUUGUGUUUGAAAUUGUCUUUGUGGUAUAAAAGGUGGUGUAAAAUUUAAAAGUGAAAUGAAAUGAAAAGAAACGAAAUGAAAUGAAAAAGCGGCCGGCCCAAGUGGGACCCCCUGGCCAGCUUAGCCGUCGGAACCCGGGGCAAGUGUACUAGGUUGUCCCCCUCCCUGCAUGGGCCUGUUGUGGUGGGAUAUAAACAGUAGUGGACAGUGGGGUGGGGCGGUGAUGCUCACCUGAGCUCAUGAUGGUUGAGUCGCUGCAACUUACAGGCAAGCAGAGGGAGAGUGGCAAGGUGGUGGGGAGGUGGGCACAGUGCAAACAUGGUGACAACCCUACCAAGCCAUCCACUAUUGGAUGUAAGUAGAAUGAAUGAAUGAAUAAAAAUCUGGAAGGUUGUGAGCUGUCUGCCCUCACUGCAUAUAGUAUUCAGUUUUGAAGAUUCUGAGCUUUAAUUGGCGAGCGCAUGGUUUCGCCAAACCAAACAAUUCUGCUGUUGUUUUAAUAUAAAUCCUCAAGCGGGUAUUUAUAAAUGCAUUUUACAUCCAUUAAGAAAGUUAAAUGUUAGCACACAGUUACUUUAGGAACUACAAAGGAGACUCUGAAGGGCAUAACUGCUUGUUAUAUAUGCAGUGCAAUACUACUGGAAGCGUUGUAGCACAGUUACUAUUAGACUGAAAUAUGGCUGAGUUUGGGGAUUCUGCUGAAGUUUUCGUUUUGGAAAAGAAAUAGUUUUCAUAGAAAUAUCAAAGAAUAAAGCCAUAUGCUGGGUAAAAAGUGGAAGCGUUUUAUUUAUCAGCGUGUGCAGUUUUUGCAGAAGUAUUCAAAGUAUAUUACAGACAUCUGCUAGCAACCCGCACUAACAAUAAAUUCAAGAGUAAGGCAACAUUCGUGGAGGAUAAUAAAAGAUGGAAAUAAAGUUUUAUCUUUGGAAUAAGCUGAUUUCACCUUCCAUCCCAAUCUUAACCUUCCAGAGCUUCUCCACAUAACCUUAAAGAAGAAAUGUGCUGAGAAUAACGUGUAUUUAUGAGCAAUCAGGCUGAUUUGUUGGAACGUGGUCCUUUUUUUGGCAGGAGGGAAGGAACCUAGGAUGUUGGAAGCUUUUGCUGUAGAUUCUGGAUGUAGUGUUUAAUUUCAUGCCUUGAGUCCUUUAUUUACUCUUGAAGUUUCAUUUUUCUGUAGCCUGACUCUUUCUCCUGGAGAAACGUCUCAUCUUCAUUAGAGCAGAGGGCAAACGGGCAAGUUCAUAAUUGCCUUUCCUAAACUCUUCAGUUUUUUGUUUGGUAUCCAUCAACUUGGGUGUCCUAGUGCAGAAUUCACGGACAAAGCGGGUGUUGUUUUAUUUUCAUUUUUGCAGCGAAUUUCCAUGCUCCCUUUCCGCACCAAAGUCCUGACUUAAAAUCGGUUGGACGGAAAAACUCUUCACUAUUUAGCAUAGUUGGCGACGAGUAAGGUUGUUUCUUAAUAGUAUAUAUAGUUUAUACUGGAUGAAAUUAAUCAAAGCAUAGGCAUUUCUGGACUUGAGAGGCUGCUUGGCAUUGUGUGUGCUGACCACUUCUUCCAGCGGGCUUGAUUAUGCCAUGAUAGGGACAGGCUUUGCUGACGUUGGGUGUUGGGAGCUUUCCCCCCCCCCCCACAGUUAAUCCUAGACAAUUUCUAGAGCAGGGGUGGCUAACGUUUUUUUUCUACAUUCCAUCUUGGCCAACACACCAAGGGCCACAUGCAAGUAUUUGGUGUAGUCACCACAUACUCUUGCUUGUAUAGGCAUAGAGCACACCAACAUGCAAAGACCACACCCCUCUUCCUCAGCUGAUCCAAUCAAAUCAACUGGACAAGGCUUAUCACUCUCUCCACUCAUUGUAUGAUCAAUCUGAUGACUUUGGGUUAUAAGUCUUGUAAGAUGGUAAUUCCCAAACAUUUAGAAAAUGUGGUUAUAGUUAUACUUGACUUUCCCUAUGUAGACUAGAUUUCUGUUCAUCUUGACCAGGGGUCAGCAAACAUUUUCAGCAGGGGGCCGGUCCACUGUCCCUUAGACCUUGUGGGGGGCCGGACUAUUUUUUUGGGGGGGGGGGGGAAUGAACGAAUUCCUAUGCUCCACAAAUAACCGAGAGAUGCAUUUUAAAUAAAAGCACACAUUCUACUCAUGUAAAAGGAUUUAGAAGGCGAUUGGGCCAGAUCCGGCCCCCAGGCCUUAGUUUGCCUACCCAUGAUCGUGACAAUACCUUUCAGCUAAAAAUGGCUGAUUCUUUAUAAAUGUACUGACAUCUUUUAUUGAUAAGCAGAUUACGCACAAGACAGAUUUUACCAAAACAUUAGGUAUCCCCAGC